rnacentral:rRNA from 1 species
GGUUAAGCGACUAAGCGUACACGGUGGAUGCCCUGGCAGUCAGAGGCGAUGAAGGACGUGCUAAUCUGCGAUAAGCGUCGGUAAGGUGAUAUGAACCGUUAUAACCGGCGAUUUCCGAAUGGGGAAACCCAGUGUGUUUCGACACACUAUCAUUAACUGAAUCCAUAGGUUAAUGAGGCGAACCGGGGGAACUGAAACAUCUAAGUACCCCGAGGAAAAGAAAUCAACCGAGAUU